rnacentral:rRNA from 1 species
UAGGGAAUAUUGGACAAUGGAGGCAACUCUGAUCCAGCCAUCCCGCGUGAAGGAUUAAGGCCCUCUGGGUUGUAAACUUCUUUUCUCUGGGAAUAAAAACCGGUAUUCAUAUCGGCUUGAAGGUACCAGAGGAAUAAGCACCGGCUAACUCCGUGCCAGCAGCCGCGGUAAUACGGAGGGUGCAAGCGUUAUCCGGAUUCACUGGGUUUAAAGGGUGCGUAGGUGGCUUUGUAAGUCAGUGGUGAAAUCUUAGAGCUUAACUCUAAAACUGCCAUUGAUACUGCUUAGCUUGAAUCAGGUCGAGGUGGAUGGAAUAUUACAUGUAGCGGUGAAAUGCUUAGAUAUGUAAUAGAACACCGAUUGCGAAGGCAGUUCACUAGGCCUGUAUUGACACUGAGGCACGAAAGCGUGGGGAUCAAACA